CCACUGGACUGCUGUGUGUGCUGAUGGGCCUGGUACCGAGGACGUGGCUUGUGGCAUCGGAGCUCAUGGGUUCGUGCCCAGGAGCAGACAGGAACAAGGUUCCAGGCAGCAGGCAUGGGAAAAUGGGGGGAAAGCGUAUCCAUAAGCACGGAGUGUGCACACGUGUGCAUAAGCAGAGACGCACAUACUCUCUCCCGCGCACCCGGUGGGGCGGCCCGCUCUGCACACCUGUGCCCACGCGCUGCUGGUGCAGGUGGACCGAACAUGUCUGGAAAGCUUGUCUCACAACAGGGGAAUUCCGCUUUCCCGAAGGGGAGCAUCACCGAGGCUGUGCCCGAGCGUUUGGAUGUACGUGUCUGUGUCCACCGAGCGUGAGAAGCCUGCCUGCCAUCCACAUCUGUGUCCAGUGAAGAUGCCAGGG